UACGGAGGGGGCUAGCGUUGUUCGGAAUCAUUGGGCGUAAAGGGCGUGUAGGCGGCCGAUCAAGUCGGAGGUGAAAUCCCUCGGCUCAACUGAGGAAUUGCCUUCGAUACUGUUCGGCUUGAGUCCUGGAGAGGGUAGCGGAAUUCCCGGUGUAGCGGUGAAAUGCGUAGAGACCGGGAAGAACACCAGUGGCGAAGGCGGCUACCUGGACAGGUACUGACGCUGAAGCGCGAAAGCUAGGGGAGCAAACAGG
rnacentral:rRNA from 1 species